rnacentral:rRNA from 1 species
UCCUGGUGGCGAGUGGCGAACGGGUGAGUAAUAUAUCGGAACGUGCCCAGUCGUGGGGGAUAACGCACCGAAAGCUGUGCUAAUACCGCAUACGAUCUCUGGAUGAAAGCGGGGGACUCGCAAGGGCCUCGCGCGAUUGGAGCGGCCGAUAUCAGAUUAGCUAGUUGGUGGGGUAAAAGCCCACCAAGGCGACGAUCUGUAGCUGGUCUGAGAGGACGACCAGCCACACUGGAACUGAGACACGGUCCAGACUCCUACGGGAGGCAGCAGUGGGGAAUUUUGGACAAUGGGCGCAAGCCUGAUCCAGCAAUGCCGCGUGCAGGAUGAAGGCCUUCGGGUUGUAAACUGCUUUUGUACGGAACGAAACGGUCCUUUCUAAUAAAAGGGGCUAAUGACGGUACCGUAAGAAUAAGCACCGGCUAACUACGUGCCAGCAGCCGCGGUAAUACGUAGGGUGCGAGCGUUAAUCGGAAUUACUGGGCGUAAAGCGUGCGCAGGCGGUUAUAUAAGACAGAUGUGAAAUCCCCGGGCUCAACCUGGGCACUGCAUUUGUGACUGUAUAGCUAGAGUACGGUAGAGGGGGAUGGAAUUCCGCGUGUAGCAGUGAAAUGCGUAGAUAUGCGGAGGAACACCGAUGGCGAAGGCAAUCCCCUGGACCUGUACUGACGCUCAUGCACGAAAGCGUGGGGAGCAAACAGGAUUAGAUACCCUGGUAGUCCACGCCCUAAACGAUGUCAACUGGUUGUUGGGUCUUCACUGACUCAGUAACGAAGCUAACGCGUGAAGUUGACCGCCUGGG